UACGUAGGGUGCAAGCGUUGUCCGGAAUUAUUGGGCGUAAAGAGCUCGUAGGCGGUCUGUUGCGUCGGCUGUGAAAACCCGGGGCUCAACUCCGGGCCUGCAGCCGAUACGGGCAGACUAGAGUUCGGCAGGGGAGACUGGAAUUCCUGGUGUAGCGGUGAAAUGCGCAGAUAUCAGGAGGAACACCGAUGGCGAAGGCAGGUCUCUGGGCAUUAACUGACGCUGAGGCGCGAAAGCUGGGGGAGCAAACGGGG
rnacentral:rRNA from 1 species